UCGACGACAUCUUCUCUGCCAUCAGAAGCUGCGGGGCUGGCCUGGCGAGAGAGAGACAGUGAGGGGCCAUGACGUUUCGGGGGGGGGGUCCUGUCUGCAUAGGGCUCUGCUGGACCUUCCACAGGAGUUGCUAGGCUGCCACUUGCUAAGGAAGAGGUUGUGUCACCUGUACCUGCUGUUGGAAGUCUUCCCAGGCAGAGAUGAAUUCAGCCAUUCAGGUGGACUUCUUAUGCAUCAUUACCUCCUCAGAGAUUCCUUCCUUGACUACUGUUCCUAAAGGGAUCUUCCCAGCCCAGGAAUUGAACCGACAUCUCUUAUGUCUCCUGCGUUGGCAGGCUUGUUCUUUACCACCGUCACGACCUUGCAAGCCCUGGUUAUCUCUGGGAAAAGGGAAUUAAAUGAGAUCAUGAAGACAUGCAUAUUUGGAUGAAUUCUUUAGAAAAAAAUUGGGACAAAUAAUUUGUGAACUUGCUAUACCUUUUAAACAAUUUUAUUAAAAUUUUAUGUGUUCUGUGUA